rnacentral:lncRNA from 1 species
GAGAUUCCGGCACGGCAUUCGCUGGAACAGCGCCCCAGCGUGGUGGAAUCCAGCGGAUUGGAGCGUGGCAGCGAGAAGGAUCGUCCAGGAGUAGACAUUGCGAUCGAUGAUCCUUUCGAAGGCAGCGCGGGCGUCUUGGAUGCUGCCACAGUCGCCAUACAUUCUCACCAGGAGAUUGCCCAGGUAGGUGUGGCGAUCGAAGCCAUAGCUGGCGAGAUGCCCGUGCAGGUCCCUAGCGUCUUGGAGAGACUUGAGGCUCCCACACUCGCGGAUCCUUGAGGCAUAUGCCUCGAUCGUAUACAUUCUCCGGCUCUUUCUAACCUGAAGUUUAUUGGUUAUGGUGACCACAUGAAGGCUUAUAAGCUCAACAGCCUUUCCAGUUCAAAAAUCCUUCACAGUCGUGAUGUGAUCUUUGAUGAGCCUCGGACUUAUCCUACUCCCAGUCUUCCCACAGCCAUCGAGCCCCCAGUCAAGCGUCAACAGUUUGAGGCAAUUAACAGUGAUGGAGCACUUGUAGCACUAUUCGGCAUUGGAAAUGGAACUCCACUCUUACUACUGGACACCAGCGGCAUCCAGGCACAGGUGAUGCAGCCUCGGGAGUGCAUGACCUUGCUAAGGCAGGAAUAGGGGAGUUAGGCUUAGGUGGGAGUACUUCGCAUCCUCAACCUCACAGAUCUACCAAACUCCACAAGCUCAAGCUAGGGAGCAUGCCCAGAUUGAUCCUAGCAACUCCGAUGCUUUUUACUAUCCUUCUGCUCUUCCAACAUUAAAGCAAACCAUCCUCAAGCUUCCUCCCCAGUUUUUCAACUACUCUUCUCCGAAGGGCAAGAUAUUCUAGCCCCCAAGAAUUUGCAUGAAAGCUUUCUCCAGUCCAAAGUGAUAGCAGCGACAGGCAGCUGCAAAUUUGGAGUACUCAUCCCUGAUGGAGAAUGAUACUUCAGAGCUUGUUGAUUUACCAAGUUAGGAACCAAUCAAGAUGAUGUGAAUUUUUCACAUGGACAGUAGUGUUGUCAAAUAUAAGGCCAGAUUAGUAAGAAAAGGUUAUUCUCAGAUUACAAUGAAAUGUUCUCUCUAGUUGUGAAGAUGCCUCCAUCUGCAUGCUACUUAAUCUUGCUGCCCAAGAGCAUUCAAAGUGGAGCAGCUUGAUGUCACUACACCAUUUCUCUAUAGCAAUUUCAAUGAGGAAGUUUAUGUUCUUCAGCCAGAAGGAUAUAUUGUCCCAGGCCAGGAGCGCCAGGAGUGCUUAAGAAGGCUUUAUAUGGACUGAAGCAAUCUCCAAGGCAGUGGUAUACCAAGACGAUUAGUUAUCUCCUUUCAAUUGGCUUUCUUUAACACUUCAAGUGACACAAAUGUCUAUUUAGGCAAGUUAAAGGUUUGAUUUGCUCUAUAUGUGGAUGACUGUCUCCUCUUUGGUCCCACAAGAAAAAUGUCAUAGCAGUUUAAAUGUGAGCUUCAAGCACGCUUCAAGAUGGUGGAUCUCAGCCUUGCUUGUUUUUGCUUAGUCAUUAAGAUCUCAGGUAAUGCAGCUCAAUUCAGCAUUAAGAUUUCAGCAUAAGGAUAUAGAGGAGAUCCUUGCUAAGUUUGCAUUAGCCAAGUUGAAGCCCAUGGAAGCUACACUUCAUCUCAGCAUGACACAAGCACCUCAAACACUUGAAAAACAUGCAUAGUAGUCUAGUGUAUUUUAUGGUGUCUAUACAUCUAUACCUAGUGGUUGCAGAAAGGUGCCUUGUGCCACAUGGCUCGCCCAUGUGGAGAGACAUGAGUUUUCACUAAUUCAUUAUAUUAUACAAAAGGUUGAUUUUAAUUAUUUUGAAUGGGGAUUAAUUGACUAGUCAACUGUGAUUAUUGAUUAGCCGUAAAAGUAUUAAAUAGUCAAUUGGUUCACAAACUUUUUUUGAUUGAUGUCAAAAAAGUAUUUGUAAAUUUCUCCACAAACAUUCAAUAAGUUUAUUCUUGAACAUGAAGAAGAAUGUUUAAAACAUUACAUGCUUCAAUGUAAUACUCAGAAAUUUUAGCAAAAUGUACCUUAAUUCAUUUUGGAAAACCAUCAUAGUUAAACAUUUAAUGCUAAGCUCCUUUGCAAGAAGCAAGAUAAGGAAGUGGACAAUACAAGCAAGUUGGGCAACAUGGGAUCAUGCCCAAUUAGGUACCAUUAUUCAACUGUGCUAGAAUUGCUAAAUGCCAUUGUUCAAUUGCUAGAAUUUAAUUGUUCUUAACUUGCAUUUUAGGGCACAAAUUAAGUUUUUGUACGGAGGGUGGUCAGUCUCCCGGCCAAACACAGUCACGACCAACAAUGCAUAUGCAUUUCCAUUGUACAAUUUCACCUUUCGUUAGAUGGUAUUGGAGCAAUGCCUAGAGAGCAAGAAGAAUUUGAAACCGUGGGAUCAGGGCAACACUUGGUAGGGUGAAUCAGGGCCAUAUGGGACGACUAAGAACCUGGACCUAAACUUGAACGACUGGGAUUGGGUGUUGGCACCCAUGGCAGCCACUGUUCCUACAAAUCUGCCUCCAAAUCCACCACCUCAAAUCCGACUGUGCACCAAAUCUCUUCAACAUCCCAUUGCAUUUUUCUAUAGAAGCAGUUUCAUGCACUGGUGAUGGCUGAAGGGGACAACCUCAAAGAUCAUCUUGCUACUGUGCAAACAAUCCUAGAUGAUCUGAAGGAUGGGGAAGCAAAUAUAGAGGAUGAAGAAGAAGCAGAGUUGGUGCUCGUCACCCUUCCUCCAUCCUUUAUGCUUGCUCCCACAUCCUUAAGAUCAUUUAGGAUUGUUUGCACAGCAGCAAGAUGAUCCUUGAGGUCGUCCUCCAGCCAUCACCAGUGCAUGAAGCUGCUUCCAUAGAAAAAUGUGAUGGGAUGUUGAAGGGAUUUGGUAAGUCUGUUUCAUGGCCUCCCAUGCUUCCUUUGCACCCUUGCACCAAUGCAAUGGAAUUCUUGCCCCUCCAGCACUGCGUGGAAUUUGCCCAAAGCUCUCUGGUCCUUGCGAUACUUGGCAGUUUCAUAGAUGACUACAGUCGUCACACUAUGAUCUACCCUAUGGCUCGCAAAUCCCAAUCGUUACACUACUUCCAGACUGGGAGAAACACAAACUGGGAAAAUGCUCAAGCGAUUGAUAAGUGAUGGUGGAGGCGAAUUCACUUCCAAUGCUUUCAACCAGCUGUGUGAGAAAGGUGGGAUUGUGCGAGAACUUACAACGCGAGAGACUCCACAACAGAAUGGCGUAGCUGAGCACAAGAAUCGCACGCUAGUGGAGAGUGCUCGGGCAAUGCUACUUUCCAGUGGUUUAAGCUUCUGGUUUCACGCUGUCUUGACGGCGAACAACCGGCUCCCCACCUCUGCGCUCGCUGGCAUCACUCCUGAAGACCUACAGUUACGCAUCUGAGAAUAUUCGGGUGUGAGCGCGCAAGAAAUUGGACCCCAAGAGCCAGCAAGAUCCAGAGAAUCCUUGAUCUCGGGCUACAGCCUCGAUCACAAAGCCUAUCGCCUCUGGAAUCCAAUCACGAAGCAGGAGAUCCUGAGCAGAGAUUUGGUUUUCAACGAGAAUUCGUUUCUUCCUUCCACAUCCAGACCUACCUUGACUGAAGAAAAUGACGUUCAAGCGGAACAAGAUCAGUUGAUUGUCUGCACGAUCACUGUGCCGCUUCAAACAGUCCCUAUGCAUCAACCCAUGCCCGCUUCUAUUCCAACACCACCAAUGCUGCUACCUCCUCCAAAUCCUCCACGCAGAUUGAUCCGCAUAAGGCGGGUUAUUGAGCGUCUCAUCGAGACAAUGGUCUCAUCUCGUGCAGCUAAAACUCUGUAUCAAUUAAAAACCUAGGCUCAAGGGAUUCUGACCUUAAACCAAAGGCUGCAUCGGAGCCAUAGAUUAAAUCAUGCACAGCAUAUAGUAUAUGUUAGCAGUUAGAAUUGCUAACCUUUCAAAAGGGGGAAUCCAAAUUGUGGAUCCCUAUUUCCAUUCCAUCAUUUUUUUUAUCAAUACAUAGCAUUCUUUUUCUCGUGCUUCUUCUCAGCCCUUGGAGAUGCAAGCCCUUUUCUCUUUUGUUUUCUUACUAACAAUAGAUUUCCAGCAAAGAGGAGUUUUCACACCUCUUCAUUUGGCAACCACGGCUUUUGAAUUCCCCUUCAAGUUUACAAAUUCUUCCGUUCUUUCUCCAUUCUCUGUGCGUAGAUAGCAAGAAUGAUCAAGCAAUCUACCCAACUCGCCAAAAUUCACUACCCAAUUCACCACCCAAUUCGCCCAAAUUCAACAAGCAAAUGCCACCACCAACAUGGAUCAACGGCGUCCAAGCGGUUGCCACCCAACGCAGUAGAGGCAGACGCUUCCCAAAGGAGAUCUUUGAAGAAUCUGAAAGCUCUCUCUCAAGAUCUCCGAGUCUAAUUGUCAGGAAUCCCCCAAUUCUUGCCAUAUUCCUGACUCUCGCCGGAUUCCUGACCUGCAGACCACAUUCCUAACUCUCGAGACACUUCCCUAUUCCUGACUCUCAAGACAUUCCUAACUCUCGAGACACUUCCCUAUUCCUGACUCUCAAGACACUUCCCGAUUCCUAAGUCUUGAGCCACAUUCCUGAUAUUGAUGUGGCGCCUCCUCGACCUCAGCUAUAUUUAGGCCGUCCUCGAUCCAAGAGUGGUGGAGCUUCAUCAACUUAUAGUAUAUAUAGGUUAGCCUUGUUCCAUUUCUCCACAAUCUGAAUCAACACCAGUCUAAGGCCUCUUCUUUGUUUUCACUAGCUUUUUAUCUUUGUCUUUAGCAUUUUCCAGUCUUGAUCUUGUUGGGGGUCUUGACAGUUUGAUUCAGAUUGUGGUUUUUGCUUUUCUUUUAGCUCGCUUUGAUUCUUUGAUUGCCUUUGUCUUUUUCCCCCUUUCUUUUCUUUCUUCUUGCCAAUGGAGUCUCCAAGCCAUCCUGAUUUCUUUGCCGAAGUCCUUGCAAAAAUCCAGUUUGAGAAUACCGAGCUGAAGGCGACCCUUCUUCGCAUGCAGCAGGAGCUUGCUUCACUUUCGGCUCAAGGAUCUAGCAAAGUUCCUGAACCGAAGGUGAGUUUCCCGGCAAAAUUUUCAGGCAAGCGUUCGGAGCUUCGUGGAUUUUUGAACCAAAUGGAGCUGAUCUUUGCACUUCAACAUCAGCGGUACCCCACUCCCGAGUCUCAAAUCGGCGCGAUUGGGACGUUGCUCGAGGGUGCAGCUUUGUCAUGGUUUUCUCCUCUUCUGGAGAAGAGCAUGAAAGGGGUCGUGGUUCCGGAGCUGAUGGAUCUUCAAUUGUUCAAAGAGAAGCUUGAAGCAUGUUUUGGCGAGACGGAUCGGGUUCGGGCUGCUACCACAAAGAUGAGACGUCUCUCUCAGGGGUCUCGUCCUGCCUCGAUCUACGCUGCAGAGUUCCAACUCCUUGCCUUGGACACUUAGUGGGAUGAGCGAGCCUUGAUUGACCAAUUUCGUUUCGGCCUCAACAACGGUGUCAAGGAUUUGUUGCUCACCAUGGAGGAUCCCAAGGACCUGUCGGACGCCAUCAACAAAGCUGUUCGAUGUGACAAUCAUCUCUUUGAACGUCGUUAGGAAAGUCGCCGCGCCGCUGUUUUUCCGUCCCAGACUCAGGAAUCCCAGCUUGAGUCUUCGGGGCAUAGUCCUGAGCCUACUGCUUCGGUCCCAAUGGAUAUUUCUGGUACUCCCCGACUCAUUAGAGGGAAGUUGAGUCCUGCUGAGAAGCAACGUCGAAUAUCUCAUAAUCUUUGCCUCUACUGUGCUGAUCCUAAUCACAAAGCAGCUGUGUGUCCCAAGAAGCCUCCCCGAUUGCUCGAGUUCACUUUGCCUCAAAGUCCACCUCUGUUGCAGUCGGGAAACGACCCUGUCCAAACAAAGUAGGAGCUGUCUGUUUGGACUCCCUGAAUAAAAAUCACUUUUCUUCCUUAUCAAGCUCCUCACCACCUUUCAUCAAAGCCACCACCAAUUCCCGCAACUUCCGCGUCCCAUGUCUCCUUUCUUUCACCGGACAAUUAGGACUCAAGGCUUUGGCGCUACUGGACUCGGGUGCAACUUCCUGCUUCAUGGACACGGACUUUGCUGCCCGACAUCACGUUCCUCUUUCUCCUACCAUACGGGAUCUGAGGGUUGAAGGCAUCGGCAGGCAUUUUGUGUCUCCAUCUUCUGGACUUAGGGAAACGUUGCCCGUUCGAGUACACAUUGGGUCCACUGUCACCGAUAUCGCCUUCAACAUCAUCAACAGCAAGUCCUCCUCUAUGGUGCUCGGUCUUCCUUGGUUCCAACUACAUCAGCCUCAGAUUUGUUGGAAGGACUUACAGCUCAUCUCUCCCACAUCACCAUCUCCCACGGCUUCCCCUGCUGUUUAUCGAGUCCGAAUCAGGAAAAGUUCCCUAAACUCAAAUCGGGGUUCUGUUCCUGACUCUACGAAGUUUUCACCCUCUUCUUUUCCCUCUCUUCCAUCUUACACUGGACAGUAUCCUCGUCUCAUCAUUCCAUUUAGUCAUACACCUCCUCCUAUCUCCACAAUCACUAUGCAAGAACUCCUUCAUGAAGAACCUAUUUUCCUUUUUGCUUUGCAUGUUUUUCCUGUCAGUCUUCCUGAGAAGUAUCAUGAUUUUGGGGAUGUGUUUGACAAGAAAAAAGCUAGUGUAUUGCCUACUCAUCGGCCUUAUGACUGUCCUAUUGAUUUACAGGAAGGAGUGUCGCCUCCGUGGGGGCCUAUCUACGGGUUAUCCCCGUCCGAGCUUAAGGCCCUCAAAGAGUACGUGGAUGAGAACCUUGCCUCAGGGUUCAUUCAGCAUUCGCAGUCCCCAGCUGGAGCGCCUGUCUUCUUUGUCAAGAAGAAGGAUGGGAGUUUGCGGCUAGUCAUCGAUUACCGAGGUUUGAACAAUGUGACUAUUCAGAACCGUUAUCCGCUGCCCCUGAUCUCAGACCUGUUGGAACGCCUCGACGGUGCCCGCUUCUUCACCAAGAUUGACCUCUGUGGCGCAUACAACCUGAUCCGGAUCCGGCCUGGUGAUGAAUGGAAGAUUGCGUUCCGAACCCGCUAUGGCCACUUCGAGUACACUGUCAUGCCAUUUGGCUUGACAAAUGCUCCAGCAGUUUUCCAACACAUGGCGAACGACGUCUUUCGGGAGUUUCUUGAUCAGAUGGUGAUCGUCUACCUCGAUGACAUCCUCAUCUACUCAAGAACUCAGGAGGAGCACAACGAACAUGUACGCAAGGUGCUAGCAAAGCUACAAGAACACGGCCUAUACGCAAAGCUUGAGAAAUGUUCCUUCGAUCAGCAGUCUGUGGAGUUCCUUGGGUACAUUGUCACUCCUGAGGGUAUCACGAUGGAUCCUGCCAAAGUCAAGACUAUUCUCGAGUGGGAGCCUCCACAAUCAAUGUCGGACGUUCAGGUUUUCCUUGGCUUUGCCAACUUCUACCCCAAAUUCAUUAAUCACUACUCUAACAUUGUCCUUCCUCUCAUGCAUCUCACUCGCAAGGAUGUUCCCUUCUCUUGGUCUACUGCUGCCCAGCACGCCUUCGACACUCUCAAGGCAGCCUUUAGUUCUGCUCCCGUUUUGAUCCAUGCUGAUUCCUCACAACCUUUCUUCAUCGAGGCUGACGCCUCCAACUUUGCCAUCGGUGUUGUGCUGUCUCAACUCGGAGCGGAUCAAGAACUUCAUCCGGUCGCUUUCCAUUCUCGGAAAUUCCAGUCUGCGGAGAUCAAUUACGAAAUCCACGACAAGGAGCUCCUUGCCAUCGUGGAUUCCUUUGGAGAGUGGCGCCGUUUCUUGGAGGGGGCGGGCCAUCAAACAACAGUCUGGACGGAUCACAAAAAUCUCGAGUACUUUGCCACUUCUCGAGUUUUAAGCCGUCGUCAAGCAAGGUGGGCACAAUUCCUGAGUCGGUUUGACUUUGUUAUCAAGUACAGACCUGGAAAGCUUCAAGGUCUUCCUGAUGCUCUUUCAAGGCGCUCCUAUCUCAGUCUCAGGCCUGGUAAUCCUGCCUUCGAUCAACAGGAUCAAAUUAUCCUCGGUCCUAAUCGGCUUCAAGUUAUGGCAAUUUCCCUGGCCCCUCAGGACUCCUCCUUGAUGGAUGCCAUCAGAAACGAUCUUCAAUCCGAUGAUCUCGCCAGCGACAUUUUCCCCCAUCUUCAGGCUGGACACCCUGUGACUCCCGACUGCCGGCGAUUUGACGAGUUCGAGUUCUUAGAUGGCUUAUUAUACCAUGGGGAGCAGCUUUACGUUCCUGAAGGUGAUGCUCGAAGGUUGGUCCUAAUGGCAUGCCACGAUAGCCCGACUGCUGGUCACUUCGGCAUUGCGAAAACCUAUGAGCUAGUUGCACGGGACUUUUGGUGGCCUCACAUGGACGACUACAUCAAAGCUUUUGUUACCUCCUGUGACACUUGCGCCCGGAAUAAAGUACCUCGCCACCUUCCUUCAGAUUUGCUUCGUUCCCUUCCAGUCCCUUCAGGUCCUUGGGAAUCCAUCUCCAUGGAUUUCUUGAGUGAUCUUCCGAGUUCUAGAGGCUUCAACAGCAUUUUAGUCGUGGUGGAUCGCUUCACAAAGAUGGCGCACUUCUUGCCAUGUACCAAGGAGUUUUCGGGCGAGGACAUGGCAAAACUGGUAUUCAGGGAAAUUUUCCGACUUCAUGGGAUUCCUACAGAUGUGGUUUUGGAUCGGGGGCCUCAGUUCAUCUCUCAUUUCUGGCAACGGUUUUUGCAGCUGCUUGGAGUGAAGGCCAACCUCUCUUCGGCGUAUCAUCCUCAAAUUGAUGGGCAGUCCGAGCAAACGAUUCAGACGUUGGAACAAUUCUUGAGGUGCUUUAUCAACUAUCAUCAGGAUAACUGGUUCGAUAUCCUUCCCCUUGCUGAGUUCUCCUAUAACAACUCUAUUCACUCCUCUCUUCGAAUUUCCCCCUUCUUUGCAAACUCUGGCCGAAAUCCCCGAUUCAAUCUCUCACUUCUUUCUCCAUCCGAAUCCUCUCAUUCAAAUCCCCGCUCUAAGGCAUUUGUCUCCAACCUCCAAGAAAUCCACAACUCCAUCUCCUUCCACCUCCAUCGUGCUCAGGAAUCUCACAAAACAUUUGCCAAUGCCCAUCGUCAGGAUUGUCCCCCUUACAAUAUCGGGGAUAAAGUUUGGCUCCUCAGGCAAAAUAUCUCCACCACCAGGCCCUGUCCAAAACUUGAUUUCAAACGCCUCGGUCCUUUCCCUAUCACUGUCAUCAUUAAUCCUGUCACUUAUCGCCUUGCACUUCCCUCCUCAUAUCAAAUUCACCCCGUUUUUCAUUCCUCUCUCCUUGAGCCUUAUAUUCCCAGUCCUAUUCCCAAUCGGGUCAUUCCUCCACCUCCACCAGUGCAGCUCGAGGAUGGGUCUGAGUACGAGGUUCAGGACAUCCUUGAUUCCAAGAUUUCACGGUCUAAACUCUACUAUCUGGUUGACUGGAAGGGUUACGGGCCUGAAGAACGCACUUGGGAACCUGCGGACAACCUGAUUCAUUCUCCUGACCUUGUUCAGGACUUCCACCGCCGCUAUCCUAGUCGUCCCAGUCCUCAUUCUUUUUCUCCAUCUCCCAUCCCUCACCGCUCAUCUCAUCCUCCUCGUCGUUCUCAUUCACAUUCUCGUUCCACUCGUUCUUGAGGAGGGGGUGCUGUCAGGAAUCCCCCAAUUCUUGCCAUAUUCCUGACUCUCGCUGGAUUCUUGACCUGCAGACCACAUUCCUGACUCUCAAGACACUUCCUUAUUCCUGACUCUCAAGACAUUCCUAACUCUCGAGACACUUCCCUAUUCCUGACUCUCAAGACACUUCCCGAUUCCUAAGUCUUGAGCCACAUUCCUGAUAUUGAUGUGGCGCCUCCUCGACCUCAGCUAUAUUUAAGCCGUCCUUGAUCCAAGAGUGGUGGAGCUUCAUCAACCUAUAGUAUAUAUAGGUUAGCCUUGUUCCAUUUCUCCACAAUCUGAAUCAACACCAGUCUAAGGCCUCUUCUUUGUUUUCACUAGCUUUUUCUCUUUGUCUUUAGCAUUUUCCAGUCUUGAUCUUGUUGGGGGUCUUGACACCAAUCACCAACAAAGACCACCAACAGCCCUCUUUGACAAGAAACUCCAAUUUACCAGCACCUUCAUCAGCACAUGCCUUUAGCAGCUUCAUUGGCGAACUCCAUCUUCGAGCACAAGACCACCCACUCCAAGCUCGAGACCUCAACCAGCGCACUUGACACAAACCGACACCACUGCCGAAACGAACCCAUCUUUCGUGCAGUCGUCAAUCCUAGUGCUCCAACACAAUUCCAAUUCCUGCGCCCACUCCAAAUACCAAAGCACAUCCUCAAAACCUACACCAAUGAAGAACCCAUCACUCUGUUACCCGGUAUUGGAGAACUCGUCGAGGGACAACUUGACAACGCACCACCAAUUUUUCAACAACCCCUCUGACAGAGUCAGCAGCUCAGCACUGAAACAACAGUCCGAACUUGGUUCGAAAUCAACAUGUUCUCUGCAACAACUCUCACCAAUCACGCCAUCACCCAAUCCAGACUCAAAUAACUAGAUGACAUUAUCGAAGAAAUCAUUCCAAACAAACAAGAAUAUCCAAAACUCUUCAUCGAACUCCAUCUCAGCACCAGCAAGUGGAAGACCAGUCUGCAUAUGGCACCAGCACACUCGACCAACACAACUCGGCUGAACACAACCCAACCCAACACACACUACCGUCGAUAUUUGCACUGAAAAGAAAGAACAAGCUCACAACGACUUUAUCGACAAUUGGCCCACCAACAGUCUUCCCGAAGUUCUGCCCGAACUGCAUGAUUGACUGCAGACACAAAUCUGACACCGACAACCAGUAGAAGAAUGCAUAUAUCCAAAACCACGAAGAACAUCCAGCAAGUUGGAAGAAGACCAACAAUAGCUUAUCUAACGUUUAGAUAGAGAUUUGAAGAAUUUAGAAACAAAGAGAAGUUAAAUCAAGUUGUUAGACCCUCCAAGAGAGAGAAUUACAUCCAACACAAAUUAUUACUGCGACCUAACUCCGACAAAUUAGUAUCGGACAUCUGCGAAGAAUACAACAACUACACAACACCACCGGACACACCACCGGCAGGACCCUCGACGACACCCACUGAAGUGCCCAAGCCUGAAUCAACACCCUCGACAGCACCCACCAAAGUGCCCGAGCCUGAAUCAACACCCUCGAUAGCACCCACUGAAGUGCCCGAGCCCGACCGAACAUUUGAGCAGUCAACACAGACUACGCCUAAGCAACAAAACAUUUUUCAAGCAGCAUACAACCACUUCAAAGGUACAUUCACCAACCCCAUCUACAGUGACGACGAACGAUGAAGUUUCCCACCCAGCUUCAGACCAGCACUAUUUUCACCAUACCGACCGAUCUUCACAACACCAAUAUAUUGUGAGUGAGCUAGAGACUCUCCAACCCAGCACGUCUCUUGCACCUCGCUGUGACCUCAGGCUGUGCUUAGUUGGAGAGGCAUACGAUCAAUGCACCCUUCUAUUCCUUAGGGAAGUCUGAUCACACCAUAUAUUUUACACAUGAUUUUAAGAGCGUUCAAAAUGAUUGCUAGGCAGUUCUGAAGUUUAGUGUGGUUAUUCAGGGCAGCAGUGUGCCUCCUAGUUUUUUACUCCCAUUGGAAUUUUCAGGCAGCCAAAGAGCGAGGAACUCGGAGAUGGUGAAGAUGCGCCAGCGUUGUCAGAUUGAAAAGGAGAAUGAGCUUUGGCGGAGACUGAGGGAAGUGCCCAAGUGGCCAAUAGUCAUCCAAUCUAUUUAGUCUUUCAUUCUGAUGGACUCACCGACAAAUCUCCCAAAUUUUAGGGCAACAAUCCUAAAACUAAAACAAACUCUUAAAAGUAGAAAAUACAAGAUAUUAGCCACACAUAAACAGGGCAUCAAACCGAGAUUGAUUUGCUUUUGCUAAUCGAAUCAGCUUUGCAAUCCAGUCUGUGGCCAGAAUCUCUUCCACCUUCAAGCUUGCCAAUGGGAAUGGAACAAUCUCUUUUGCUUUGAGACAUGCCUCGUACAAGCUUGGAUCGCGGGGAGCCUCAUACGCUGCUAAAAUCUCUGCAAGCCCAUCAGCUGGAGUCAAGAAACCAUCAUGAUCUGUGUCGACUGAGUUGAACCUCAUGAAGAUUUCAGUCUGAUUGUUAGGCUCUCGAUGCGUACAGAAGUUGUUAUGGUGGUAGUAAACAAAAGCUUGGCUAAACUCACUGAAGUCGAUCCUCCCAUCUUUGUUUGCAUCUUGCACGUUGUACAACCACAUUUGCAAUUUGCUGCCACUUUUGUCCUUGAUCCUCUCUGGGCUCAGGCAGUUCUUGAACUCCACCCAAUUAAGGACCCCAUCACCGUUUUCAUCACAAGCAUCAUAAUAGGAUCGAUGAUAGUGUUCUGACAAUAGGAAAAACUGAAAGCCAAAGCUUUUGUAUGGGAUUGCCCUGGGUAGCAUCAUCAUCUUCCAAUCCAGAUAAUCCAUGGCAUACUCGUACCAACCUAAAACACCAUCCUUAUUUCUGUCUUUACGUUGCCAGGUAAACUGGUCACGGAUGUCAUGCUGCUUAUCAAACCAAGCAUCAGCCUCUUCCCUGGUAAUAUUACCAUCUCUGGGAUUUACAUCCAUCUCAUCAAGGUAUUCUCGAGCAGUCAUCUUUUCGAGCUCAGUUGGUGGAACAUGUAAAUUAUAAUAACAAUGAUUUUCUCUUUCUGCAAGAUUUGUUUUUAAUACAUGCAAUUAAGAAUUAAAGUUGCCAACAACAUACCUGAUCUUGUUAUUUUACUUUGUGCGCCUUGAGUAACCAUGGCCAACACAAACAUCACCACAAUCAAAUCCAUACUAGCUUAGGGUUACUCCAAAAGCAUGGUAUAUAUAUGCCUUGGUAAAACCAUAUAUUAAGCAAAUAUCUUUUGCCUUUGUCAUUCCUCGGGAGCAGGAUGCUCUUGUCCAAGGCAAGGAUUUCUCACUGUGGAAGAAACUUAUUGAGGCAUGUCUGUGGAGUGCAUUUGCACCUACCUUAGCCAUGGGAUCUUACUCAAGUCAGACAUGGAGCAAGGAGCAAGGAGCUGACCAUCUCUGGAAAUGGCUGAAGGACAUGUAUAUGGCAAAACGUCUGAUUUGGAAGUGAUGAGGCUUCAUUCAGUCUUGGACGCUUUCAUCUUUGAAGAUGGUGGGGAUAUACAACAGCGGGAUUCUUUGAGUAGGUUUUCUCAAGGCAAGGAACACAAGGUUCUAACUAGAGCUGGACCUCCUCGUUUGACGAGGCAGCAAUGAAGCUCAUGAACACUUCUCAGCUGCAUAAGGAAUGCUCAAACUUAUGAGGUACACCAUGCCAUGUUUGCAAAAAGGUUAAAGAUGAGCUCUACCCGUGGAGGCUGUGGGAGGCCAGACAUGACUGGAGGCUGUCAUGGGUGAGGAGGGCGUACCUCCUAUAGUGGUAGAUCUACCACACAGCAACAUGGAGGACGUCCUGACAGGACGUUUUGCAGUGGUCAAGAUGCUAAUCGUGAACCGAUGCGUGUGGUCGAGAAUCAUAUUUGGCUGAACCGGUUCUCAUGCGAACCACCUUUUGCCAAACCAGUUUGGCCAGGUCCGGGGUGAUGUUGCACGAAAUGGCCAAGAUGGUGUGGUUGUUUUUUGUAAAUUGGAUUCUUUGGUCGGCACUGAAGUUUUUGAAUUGGUUUUAAGCUAGAUUCUAGUUUUAAGGUUUUGCAAAAGGAGGGGCGCGGCAGGAAAAUCUGGUUUUGGAACCUAUGGGUAAUUCUUUCGGAUAAUCAAUCUGCUAUUGCUCUUUCAGAAAUUAGAGAUAUUACAAAGCAUAUAUGGGAGGAUCAGAUUGCUGAUUUAUUCACAACGCUUGGAGUGUGAACCGUACCUUAUGCUUGGUUCUAGGGAACUGGCAUGCUUUUUAUAUAUCCUUCAACGGGAAGAACUUUAAACCACCAACCUACAGAAAAUCGAAUUAUGUGGUUUUUGACUCUGGUACGAAAAGUUCAAUCAGCUUUAACAGCCAAUCAUCCAAGAAUCAAUUACUUUGAGACGGAGUUGUGCUUCACGGCUUCAAACAACUUGCGGUCCAACUGCCAUGGCCUCACAGGAAGCGUCUUACUGGCGUGUAGCAAUGGAAGCCGAGAUUUCUUCACAGCACAAGAACGAGAGACAUGUUCUUGUUUCUACUGUGCCUUCCAAUAGCCAGGCGCGAUUUGUGGCGAAAGGAUGCUCGCAAGUUCCUGGACUUGACUACAACGACACCUUCGCUUCAAUGGUUAAGCAUUCUACUCUUCGUUCCUUGAUUAAUUUUGCUGCGGUGGGAGACUUUGAUCUGGAACAGAUGUGACCACAGCGUUUCUUUAUGGCGAGCUUGAAGAAGAAAUCUAUAUGGCACAGCCAGAAGGAUUUCUAGCCGCUGGAAAAGAGGAUCAUCUCUGGCUUCUCAAGAAAGCUGUCUACGGCUUGAAACAAGCACCGGUACAAACGCUUUGAUGAUUUUAUACUAAGUGUGGCCUUUCCCGUAGCGAGGCAGGCCCGAAUCUUUAUAUUUGGGUGGACGGUGAAUCAUUUGUGAUCAUCGCUCUUUAUGUUGAUGAUACUCUUGUCACCCAUAAUCAUCGCUUACUGUUUCUCCAGGAUAAGCGAGAUCUUUGCAGCCAAUUCGAGAUGAAAACUCUUGGCUAGGCUUCCUACUUUCUUGGCAUGGAACUUGUGCGUGAUUGCUCUCAACGCAUCACCAAGCCAAGUAUAUAGAAGAGAUGCUGGCCAGGUUUUCUAUGACGAGCUCUAAUCCAGUGGCGACACCAAUGGAACCAGGCUGCCAACUUUCCCGAGCCAUGUCGCCUGAGACAGAGGACGACAAGAGAGCCAUGGACUCCAUCCCUUACAGACAAGCUGUUGGCAGCCUCAUGUAUCCAGCUGUUUGUAGGCACCCAGAUAUUUCUUUUGCCGUGAGCAAAGUUAGCCAAUUCCUGGCUAAUUCUGGAUCUCAACAUUGGGCAGCGGUAAAACGCAUCGUCAGGUACCUUUGUGGUACUACUUACCUUGGAUUGUGCUACCAGGGAAAAGAGCUUACCCUCACGGUGCUGAUUUUGGGGGAGACUGUGACACACGCAAGUCCACCUCUGGCUAUGGCAGUCUCAUGGUGCAGCAGGAAGCAAAGUACAGUGGCAACUUCUAUCACUGAAGCAGAAUAUUUGGCAGCCUCACAAGCUACCAAAGAAGGUGUGUGGCUACGCUCACUACUUUCUAACCUUGGUGUGAGUGUGCUCUCAACACUCCCACUGGCACUGUGGCCAUCACGAGUGAUGCUCAUCAGUGGAGAAAGUCCCAGCCCUUCGCGAUGGACUUGAAAUCGAUAUCGGGGUAGUGCUUUUGUGAAGAUAUCUGCAACCUGAGUGGUUGUGUCGCAGUAGAUCAGCUCAAUUGUGCCAUCUUCCACUUUCUCACGAACAAAAUGAUGAUGAAUCCCAAAGUGUUUGGUGCGUGAAUGAAAGCGAGGAUUGGCCGCUAACGCAAUGCAGCUUUGAUUGUCGCAGAAGAGGCGAGUGGGAGUCUUCACACUCACACCAAGGUUAGAAAGUAGUGAGCGUAACCACACACCUUCUUUGGUAGCUUGUGAGGCUGCCAAAUAUUCUGCUUCAGUACUAGAGGUUGCCACGGUACUUUGCUUCCUGCUGCACCACGAGACUGUCGCACUACCCAGGGAAAACGAAUAGCCAGAGGUGGACUUGCGUGUGUCACAGUCUCCCCCAAAAUCAGCAUCACAGUACCCCGUGAGGGUAAGCGCUUUUCCCUGGUAGCACAAUCCAAGGUAAGUAGUACCUCGAAGGUACCUGAAGAUGCGUUUCACCGCUGCCCAAUGUUGAGAUCCAGGAUUAGCCAGGAAUUGGCUAACUUUGCUCACGGCAAAAGAAAUAUCUGGGUGUGUACAAACAGCUGGAUACAUGAGACUGCCAACAGCUUGUCUGUAAGGGAUGGAGUCCAUGGCUCUCUUGUCGUCCUCUGUCUCAGGAGACAUGGCUUGUGAAAGCUGGCAGCCUAGUUCCAUUGGUGUCGCCACUGGAUUAGAGCUCGUCAUAGAAAACCUGGCCAGCAUAUCUUCUAUAUACUUGGCUUGGUGAAGAUAGAUAGUGCGUUGAGAGCGAUCAUGCACAAGUUCCAUGCCAAGAAAGUAGGAAGCCGAGCCAAGAGUUUUCAUCUCAAAUUGGCUGCAAAGAUCUCGCUUAACCUGGAGAAACAUUAAGCGAUGAUUAUGGAUGACAAGAGUAUCAUCAACAUAAAGAGCGAUGAUCACAAAUGAUUCACCCUCCACCCCAAUAUAAAGAUUCGGGUCUGCCUCGCUAUGGGAAAAGCCCACACUUAGUAUAAAAUCGUCAAAGCGUUUGUACCAAGAUCUGGGUGCUUGUUUCAAGCCGUAGACUGCUUUCUUGAGAAGCCAGAGAUGAUCCUCUUUUCCAGCGGCUAGAAAUCCUUCUGGCUGUGCCAUAUAGAUUUCUUCUUCAAGCGCACCAUAAAGGAACGCCGUGGUCACAUCCAUCUGUUCCAGAUCAAAGUCUCCCACCGCAGCAAAAUUAAUCAAGGAAUGAAGAGUAGAAUGCUUAACCACUGGAGCGAAGGUGUCGUUGUAGUCAAGUCCAGGAACUUGCGAGCAUCCUUUCGCCACCAAUCGCGCCUUGUAGCGAACCGAGCCAUCAGGAUUAAGCUUCAGAGCAUACACCCACAUGCUCUUGAUAAUCUGGCGAUUGGAAGGCACAGUUGGAACAAGAACAUGUGUCUCGUUCUUUUGCUGUGAAGCAAUCUCGGCUUCCAUUGCUACACGCCAGUAAGACGCUUCCUGUGAGGCCAUGGCUUCUCCAUAGGUCCUCGGAACAGUAGGAGUCCCAGCUGCACGAGAGGAGACCAUUGUCUCGAUGAGACGCUCAGUAGGCCGCCUUGUGCGGAUCGAUCUGCGUAGAGGAUCUGGAGGAGGCGGCGGGGUUGGUGGUGUUGGAGUAGAAGCGGGCAUAGAUUGUUGCAUAGGGACUGUUUGAAGCGGCACAGUGAUCGUGCCGACAGUCAACUGAUCUUGUUCCGCUUCAACGUCAUUUUCUUCGGUCAAGGUAGGUCUGGAAGUAGAACCUUGACUAGAAGGAAGAAACGAAUUCUCGUUGAAAACCACAUCUCUGCUCAGGAUCUCCUGCUUCGUGAUUGGAUUCCAGAGACGAUAGGCUUUGUGAUCGAGGCUGUAGCCCACAAACACAGCCUUCUGGCUCUUGGGGUCCAAUUUCUUGCGCAUUCCAUCAGGGAUGUGAGCCCACGCUUCACACCCGAAUAUUCUCAGAUGCGUAACUGUACGUUUCUUGCCACUCCAUGCUUCUUCAGGAGUGAUGUCAGCAAGGGCAGAGGUGGGGAGCCGGUUCUGGAGAUAGUUCGCCGUCAAGACAGCGUGAAACCAGAAGCUGCGAGGCAAACCACUGGAAAGUAGCAUUGCCCGAGCACUCUCCACUAGUGUGCGAUUCUUGCGCUCAGCUACGCCAUUCUGUUGUGGAGUCUCUCGCGUUGUAAGUUCUCGCACAAUCCCUCCUUGCUCACACAGCUGGUUGAAAGCAUUGGAAGUGAAUUCGCCUCCACCAUCACUUCUCAAUCGCUUGAGCAUUUUCCCAGUUUGUGUUUCUCCCAUAUCCUUGAAAGUCUGGAAGUAGUGUAACGAUUGGGAUUUGCGAGCCAUAGGGUAGAUCAUAGUGCGACGACUGUAGUCAUCAAUGAAACUGAUAAAGUAUUGGAUACCUCCCACUGCUGUGGUGGCCAUCGGGCCACACACAUCAGUGUGUACAAGUUCCAUGAGCUCUGUAGCUCGAGAUGCUCCAGUCUUGGGGAAAGGUUGGCGAGUAGAUUUUCCUAGCUGACAGCCCUGGCAAAAUGGAAGAACGGCUCUUGGGUCCAGGUCUAUACCUUCAACCAUCUGCUCGCGUGCGAGCUGCUUGAUUCUAUCAGCACUAGGAUGCCCCAGGCGUGCGUGCCAAAGCUCCAGUGAGUGACUGGUCGUUGUCUUUUGUGCGUGUAGGCCCAGACUCCGUCCAGCAAGAUCUGGCAGCAUGGUAAGGCGGUAGAGGUCAGCCGUCCAGGCCGGGACGCUGUGAGGAUGGCUCCUGUGGUCGAGAUCAGCUGGAAUUGGCGAGGUGUAAUGGCGAACUGAUACCCAUCCUCAGCAAAUUGUCCCACAGAGAACAAAUUAGCACAUAAACCAGGAAUAUAAAGAACCUCGUGGAUCUUUACGACUAUUCCUUGUGGUAAAGUGAACUUGAUGGUUCCAAUUCCUUUCACAGCAAGCUGCUGGGCAUUGCCAACGAUGACAUACUCCUCUGUGGCUGUAGGAUCAUAGGCUUCAAAGUACUUAUCACUGUUGAACAUAUGGUCUGUAGCAGCAGAAUCCAGGUAGAUGCACUCUGUAGACAGUGCUGCCACUGCCAUAGCUCGUGACAAGAUGAAGGCGUGUACCACCUUUUUCUUUGCAUUGUUCCUUACAGGCUUGAGAGAUGGAUUUUUCACCCAGCAUUGAGCUUCGUCAUGGCCUUUCUUGUUGCAAUGAGAACACUUGGGCUUCUUGGAUGAAGAGGCUCCUUGUUUCCCUUUGUUCACUGUUUCUUUCCUGAGAGAAGAGUAGAAUGCAACGGCCUCUGAUCCUGCUGUUGCUCUUCGUCUCAGAUCAUCGUCCUGGAGGCUACUGAUCACGCCAUUCAGGGUUAGAGGAGUUCCAGUGGUAGUGAGGCUACGUAUGAGAGGAUCAAAGGAUGGAGGAAGUGUGACGAGCACCAGCUCUGCUUCUUCUUCAUCCUCUAUGUUUGCUCCCACAUCCUUAAGAUCAUCUAAGAUUGUUCUCGCUGCAGCAAGAUGAUCCUUGAGGUCGUCCCCUUCAGCCAUCACCAGUGCAUGAAGCUGCUUCCGUAAAAAGAUGCGAUGGGAUGUUGAAGGGAUCUGGUAAGUUUGCUUCAUGGCCUCCCACGCUUCCUUUGCACUCUUGCACCGUCCAAUGCAAUGGAAUUCUCGCCCCUCCAGCGCUGCAUGGAAUUUGCCCAAAGCUCUCCGGUCCUUCUUGCGAUACUUCGCAGUUUCAUCCACUGUAGCUGUAUCUGGAAGUGUCUCAGUUCCUGUGGUGAUGUCCCAGAGGCCUCGUUCAUCCAUAUAGGAUUCGAAUUUUGUCUUCCAGAAGCGCCAGUUCCUCCCAUCAAAUUUUGGUGGAUUUGCGUCCACUGAAACGAUAUCCGCUGUAGGCACAGUCGGAUUUGUGAUGGGAGGGGAAAUAGGUGGUGGAUUUGGAGGGACAUUUGUAGGAACAGUGGCUGCCAUGGGUGCCGACACCCAAUCCCACCACUCGUUCAAGUCUAGGUCCAGGUUCUUAGUCGUCCAGUGCCUCUUGCAAGGCCUGGAGCGCUUGGAUUAGGGCACGCCUCUGUCUACGUAGACGGAGGCUCCGAUUCACCCUAGCAAGUGUCGCCCUGAUCCUACGGUUUCGAAUUCUUCUCGCUCUCCUAUGCAUUGCUCCGAUACCAUCUAACGAAAGGUGAAACCGUGUGAUGGUGCUCAAGAUCCGUCAUAGCAUAUAUGGAAUGGAAAAUGUACAUAUGUGUGACGUGGUGAACUGGUGAAGACUCGUGUCUCUCCAAGUGGACUAGCCACGUGGCACAGGGCCACUCUCAACAAGUGGCAACUUCUAUCACUGAAGCAGAAUAUUUGGCAGCCUCACAAGCUACCAAAGAAGGUGUGUGGCUACGCUCACUACUUUCUAACCUUGGUGUGGGUGUGAAGACUCCCACUCGCCUCUUCUGCGACAAUCAAAGUUGCAUUGCGUUAGCGGCCAAUCCUUGCUUUCAUUCACGCACCAAACACUUUGGGAUUCAUCAUCAUUUUGUUCGUGAGAAAGUGGAAGAUGGCACAAUUGAGCUGAUAUACUGCUAUACGACCACUCAGGUUGCAGAUAUAUUCACAAAAGCACUACCAUUGCGAAGGGCUGGGACUUUCUCCAGUGCGUGCCACGUGGCUAGUCCACGUGGAGAGACGUGUCACACAUAUGUACAUUUCCAUUCCAAGGAUCUUGAGCACCAUCACACGGUUUCACCUUUCAUUAGAUGCAGUUGGUCAGGUCUCUCAGUUUCUAAACUAGCUUGUUGUCAAAUGUCUCUUUCACUACUUCAAGGGAACUAAAACGUUUGCUCUUCACCAACAUCAGGAUAUGUUUUCUCUCCGGGCACUGGUGCAGUCACUUGACAGACAACCAUUGCUCUUUCGUCAACAGAGGUCGCAGUUGCAGCUAAGAAGUGCAUUUGGUUACAUUAGCUUUUAAAUGGACUCAGCUAUUUUCAGCAAACACCGACACUUAUCUACUGUGACAACCUCAGAGCGAUAGGCAUACCAAAUAUAUAGAAGUACAAUUUCACUUCAUACGAGAUUAAGUGACCCAGCAGGCUCUCGAGCUCAUGCAUUUUCCCACAAGAGACCAAGUCAUUGAUAUCUUCACGAUGGCUCUACCACCGAAGGCUCUUGUUCCAGAAGCAUGCCAAUGCAAGAAACCUCCACUUUUAUGCUUGGGUGGGAGUGUUAGAAUAUCCAUUGUUGUGGAUAUUUGAGGGAGCUCUCCAGAUGUUCUAGAGUCUUCCAGAGGCUUCUAGAGAAGCAGUUAGCUGGUAGCAGCUCUAAGUAGUUAUUGGUAGCUCACAUAUGUAGCUUCAUUUCUUUCAUAUAUGCAAGGUGUGUUCUUCUUCUCAAAAAGAGCCCCUCCAAAGAAAUAAGAGAACCUUUGGGAGUUAAGGUAAAGUAUUUCUCUCUAAUUUUUAUUUAAUUCCUAUUUUAUACCAUUUCUUAAAGCUUAAAUUUUCUUCUUUUCCUUUCAGGUGAUUAUAACAUGUUGUUAUGGAACUCAGGUACGGAAGACGUUCGUGGAGGCUACCACGUCAUACGAGCAACCACAAACGUUUAUUUUAGUCAUUCCAUCAAGAAACCAAAUUCGAUUACAGUGGAAUUUGGUCAAAAAAUGUUGACCAAUUGAAGUUCGUUGAAGUUAAUCUUGACUAAUUCUGGAAUCUGGACUCCUCGUCUCCGUCUUUCAUUCUUUGCUAGAUUCGUUUUGGGGGCGUGCUCGGGUCAUACUGCCUUGUCAAGGCACGGCGCGCUAAUUGAAAGAGGACAGAAGUGGUGUAUUUUUUCUUUCACAUCUCUAGAUGAUUGCGUGCUGCACUAGGGCCGGAGCGCCACAGCAGCGGCGCAGUGUGAUAUGUGCGUUCUAAUUUUUUACUUCCACUGGAAUUUUCAGGCAGCCAAAGAGCGAGGAACUCGGAGAUGGUGAAGAUGCGCCAGCGUCGUCAGAGUGACGAGCUUUCGAGGCUGAGGGACGUGCCCACGAAGGCACAGCCAAUAGCGAUUCACCAAAUCUGAUUAGUUUGUUUUUUCCUUCUACCUACCAGUUUGCAAACUAAAACAAACUCUUGAUUAAAUUCAACGAAAGCCAAAACUACGCAGAGAAAAUCAGACAAAUAAGGUUUAUCAACACAUAAACAGGGGAUCAAAUCGCUUUUGUUAACAAAAUCAUCUUCGCAAUCCAGUCUGUAGCCAGAAUCUCUUCCACCUUCAAGCUUGCCAAUGGGAAUGGAACAAUCUCUUUUGCUUUAAGACAUAAGCUUGGAUCACGGGGAGCCUCGUACGCUGCUAAAAUCUCUGCAAACCCAUCAGCUGGAGUCAAGAAACCAUCACAAUCUCUACUGAGUUGAACCUCAUGAAGAUUGGUAGUAAACAAAAGCUUGGCUAAACUCGCUGAAGUCGAUCCUCCCAUCCUUGUUUGCAUCUUGCACAUUGUACAACACAUUUGCAAUUUUCUGCCGUUGUUGCCCUUAAUCCUCUCUGGGCUCAGGCAGUUCUUGAACUCCACCCAGUUAAGAACCCCAUCACCAUUUUCAUCACAGGCAUUGUAAUAGGAUUGAUGAUAGUGUUCUGGCAAUAGGAAGCCAAAGUUUUUGUAUGGGAUUGCACUCGGUAGCAUCAUCAUCUUCCAAUCCAGAUAAUCCAUGGCAUACUCGAACCAGCCCAAAACACCAUCCUUGUUUCUGUCUUUGCGUUGCCAGAUGAAUUCGUCGAGAAUUGCAUGCGGCUUAUCAAGCCAAACAUCAGCUUGCAAUAUUGCCAUCUCUAUUUACGUCCAUCUCAUCAAGGUAUUUUCAAGCAGUCACCCUUUCGAGCUCAGUCGUAAAUUACGAUAAUAAGGACCUUCCCUUGCUGCAACAUCAACAUAACUGAUCUUGUUAUUUUACAUUCCUUGAGUAACCAUGGCCAUCACCACAAUCAAAUCCAUACAGGGUUACUCGGCAUAAAACCAAAUGGCCGUUUCAACACAAUUAGAACUAGCAAUCUAUUUAAUGGAAUUUAUUUUCCAAUAGUUAAUACAUGUUUUUAGGGCUCGCAGCUCUGGGCACAGGCCCUGAGCAUCGAGUUCCAGGACACGAGUGCCAUGCCGGCAUGGCAUUGCGCCAGCGUGGUGGAAUCCAGCGGAUUGGAGCGUGGCAGCGAGAAGGAUCGUCCAGGAGUAGACAUUGCGAUCGAUGAUCCUUUCGAAGGCAGCGCGGGCGUCUUGGAUGCUGCCACAGUCGCCAUACAUUCUCACCAGGAGAUUGCCCAGGUAGGUGUGGCGAUCCCGUGCAGGUCCCUAGCGUCUACACUCGCGGAUUCUUGAGGCAUGUACAUUCUUUCUAACCUGAAGUUCAUUCCAUAUUAAGCUUGUUAAGGACAAGAAGAUUCAGCAAAUGACAGUUCAUACUCCUCCAGAUCAUAUACAAUCAUAUGAUCUCGCUGCAUUGCGUAGCCAAAGAUCCCCAUGAUUGCAUCGCCCUCUUCGUCCUUGAUUUCUAAGGAUGCUAGCUCAGGACAAUAAAACUCAUGCAGCUGCAUUGUGAUGAAGUUUAGUUGUUUAACCUGGUUUAAGAAGAAAAAGAAAGAGUUUCAAAGCAAUAAAAAUGGAUGGGUCUUUUGAACUUACAGUAAAAUCGCCACCCUCGAAGUGAAACGUGAUUGGAUUGAAUCGUGGUCGGGGUGUAUACUGCCGUUGCCCAUCUGGGGCGUAGCAUCCACGCCCCGUUUUCACGUAGCCCAAGUCCGUCUCAAAGUACUUAUUGAUUUCUUGGAUGAUUGGCUGGUAAAGCUGAUUGAUCAGAAAUGUACUUUUCGUACCGGAGUCAAAAACCACAUAAUUUGAUUUUCUGUAGGUUGGUGGUCUAAAGUUCUUCCCGUUAAAAGAUAUAGAUAGCAACUGGAUCAUAUACUGUCUAUCUGGUCUUGCUCGCAUUUGGUUAUAACUCCAUUCUCCCAAUUCUCUAGAACCAAGCAUAAGGUACGGUGUGUCUGCUAAACGAUCUAAGUACACUAAUCCCUCAUACCUAUCAGUCAGGCAAUAAGCAAAUUUUCUGAUCUGAAACUCAUGUACC